rnacentral:rRNA from 1 species
GACGAACGCUGGCGGCGUGCUUAACACAUGCAAGUCGAACGGAAAGGCCCUUCGGGGUGCUCGAGUGGCGAACGGGUGAGUAACACGUGAGUAACCUGCCCUGGUCUUGGGGAUAACCUUCGGAAACGGGGGCUAAUACCGAAUGUUUCCAUACUGUCGCAUGGUGGUGUGGGGAAAGUUUUUUCGGACUGGGAUGGGCUCGCGGCCUAUCAGCUUGUUGGUGGGGUGAUGGCCUACCAAGGCUUUGACGGGUAGCCGGCCUGAGAGGGCGACCGGCCACACUGGGACUGAGACACGGCCCAGACUCCUACGGGAGGCAGCAGUGGGGAAUAUUGCACAAUGGACGAAAGUCUGAUGCAGCGACGCCGCGUGAGGGAUGACGGCCUUCGGGUUGUAAACCUCUUUCGCCAAGGACGAAGCGUAAGUGACGGUACUUGGAGAAGAAGCGCCGGCCAACUACGUGCCAGCAGCCGCCGUAACAC